AGAGCGAACGCUGGCGGCAGGCUUAACACAUGCAAGUCGAGCGGGCGUAGCAAUACGUCAGCGGCAGACGGGUGAGUAACGCGUGGGAACGUACCUUUUGGUUUGGAACAACUGAGGGAAACUUCAGCUAAUACCGAAUAAGCCCUUACGGGGAAAGAUUUAUCGCCGAAAGAUCGGCCCGCGUCUGAUUAGCUUGUUGGUGAGGUAAUGGCUCACCAAGGCGACGAUCAGUAGCUGGUCUGAGAGGAUGAUCAGCCACAUUGGGACUGAGACACGGCCCAAACUCCUACGGGAGGCAGCAGUGGGGAAUAUUGGACAAUGGGCGCAAGCCUGAUCCAGCCAUGCCGCGUGAGUGAUGAAGGCCCUAGGGUUGUAAAGCUCUUUUGUGCGGGAAGAUAAUGACGGUACCGCAAGAAUAAGCCCCGGCUAACUUCGCGCCAGCAGCCGC
rnacentral:rRNA from 1 species